GUCUCUGUAGCGCAAUGGAUAGCGCGUUGGGCUUCUAAUUCAAAGGUCGUGGGUUCGAAUCUUACCUGGGAUG
rnacentral:tRNA from 1 species